rnacentral:rRNA from 1 species
CCUACGGGGGGCAGCAGUGAGGAAUAUUGGUCAAUGGACGAGAGUCUGAACCAGCCAAGUAGCGUGAAGGAUGACUGCCCUAUGGGUUGUAAACUUCUUUUAUAUGGGAAUAAAACGUUCCACGUGUGGGAUUUUGUAUGUACCAUAUGAAUAAGGAUCGGCUAACUCCGUGCCAGCAGCCGCGGUAAUACGGAGGAUCCGAGCGUUAUCCGGAUUUAUUGGGUUUAACGGGUUCGUAGGUGGAUUGUUAAGUCAGUUGUGAAAGUUUGCGGCUCAACCGUAAAAUUGCAGUUGAAACUGGCAGUCUUGAGUACAGUAGAGGUGGGCGGAAUUCGUGGUGUAGCGGUGAAAUGCUUAGAUAUCACGAAGAACUCCGAUUGCGAAGGCAGUUCACUGGACUGCAACUGACACUGAUGCUCGAAAGUGUGGGUAUCAAACAGGAUUAGAUACCCCAGUAGUC